rnacentral:lncRNA from 1 species
AUUUGGUUGCUCGCCGUUAUAUCUGCCCGUCUCUAGCCUCAAAGGAAGAAUUCCACAUCUCAGUUGUGUUAGAAAAGAUCGUUCAGUUUUGUUCAAAUUUAAUUUAACAAUAGGUUUCUAUUUCAAAAUUUGCCUUUAGUUUUACAUAAGUUCUCAACUUUGGGGUUUACACAACGUCGUUUCUCAACAAACAGUUAUAUAUAGUAUUCCUUCA